GAUGAACGCUGACAGAAUGCUUAACACAUGCAAGUCAACUUGAAUUUGGGUUUUUAACUUAGGUUUGGGUGGCGGACGGGUGAGUAACGCGUAAAGAACUUGCCUCACAGCUAGGGACAACAUUUGGAAACGAAUGCUAAUACUUAAUAUUAUGAUAAUAGGGCAUCCUAUAAUUAUGAAAGCUAUAAGCGCUGUGAGAGAGCUUUGCGUCCCAUUAGCUAGUUGGAGAGGUAACAGCUCACCAAGGCGAUGAUGGGUAGCCGGCCUGAGAGGGUGAUCGGCCACAAGGGGACUGAGACACGGCCCUUACUCCUACGGGAGGCAGCAGUGGGGAAUAUUGGACAAUGGACCAAGAGUCUGAUCCAGCAAUUCUGUGUGCACGAUGAAGUUUUUCGGAAUGUAAAGUGCUUUCAGUUGGGAAGAAAGAAAUGACGGUACCAACAGAAGAAGUGACGGCUAAAUACGUGCCAGCAGCCGCGGUAAUACGUAUGUCACGAGCGUUAUCCGGAUUUAUUGGGCGUAAAGCGCGUCUAGGUGGUUAUGUAAGUCUGAUGUGAAAAUGCAGGGCUCAACUCUGUAUUGCGUUGGAAACUGUAUAACUAGAGUACUGGAGAGGUAAGCGGAACUACAAGUGUAGAGGUGAAAUUCGUAGAUAUUUGUAGGAAUGCCGAUGGGGAAGCCAGCUUACUGGACAGAUACUGACGCUGAAGCGCGAAAGCGUGGGUAGCAAACAGG
rnacentral:rRNA from 1 species